rnacentral:tRNA from 1 species
CAAAUUAAAGCUUGUAUAGUAUUUUAUUUACAUUAAAAAGAUUGAUGUUAAUUCAUUAUAAUUUGA